UACGGAGGGGACUAGCGUUGUUCGGAAUUACUGGGCGUAAAGCGCACGUAGGCGGAUUUGUAAGUCAGGGGUGAAAUCCCGGGGCUCAACCUCGGAACUGCCCUUGAUACUGCAAAUCUCGAGUCCGGAAGAGGUGAGUGGAAUUCCUAGUGUAGAGGUGAAAUUCGUAGAUAUUAGGAAGAACACCAGUGGCGAAGGCGGCUCACUGGUCCGGUACUGACGCUGAGGUGCGAAAGCGUGGGGAGCAAACAGG
rnacentral:rRNA from 1 species